CAGAGCCAUCAGUCCCACCAUGUGUACUCCUUGGUUGAUGGUAACAUUCCAUCACUAGGGGAACUCAAUGAAGGAUUCAAGAAUGGCAGGAACCUGGGGACAGGAGCUGAUACAGAAGGU